AUAUCUUGCCAACUUUACCGAACUCAUUUUUAUUUAAAACCUGAGUGAACACCUUUAAGGAAGGUCCGUGUACAGAUCUGGUAAUUGGAUUUUCCGUUCUGAAACGGGUAUUGAAAAACAAAAAACGAGUGGUUAUUUGAUUUUCGUUUUAAAAUACAAAAAUUAAAAAGGAAAUACAAGGCGUUUUUCCUUGUCGUGGUCAAAAAGGGAUGUACGAAAUUUUAAAAAUGCUUUGAUUUUCAUUUUAUAUUUAGAAUUUAAAAAAAUCAGCAAGAGACAGAAACGAAAAAAGGUCAUUUUUUUUUUCAUUUUCUGAGACCGGAAGUGGUCAUCAGCAAGUGUGGAGCCAAACGACAAGAUUCUCAGAGGGCGGAGCCAGAGAGCAGUGAUUGGUCAGACCAUAGAUAUUAUAGAAGACAGCGCGCUAGCGUAUCUAGUCUGCUAUAUAUAUCUAUGGUCGGCACGUCUGGUAGCAUCUCUGGCUGGUGUUGAUCUUGUUUUUGGAGUAAAACACGGUGGAAGCUGAAUUAGUGAGGAUGACUCCUGCUCCUGUCAUCUCUAAGCUCCUCACACAUCUUUACCUGCACAUGAGGAAAAUCACUCCUGUAGAAUGCAGAUGUUCAGAGGGAGAUGAUGCCACAUCUGGUCCAGCUGAUGGAAGGUCUUGAAGUUCUCUGACUGGCCUCGACUGAAGAUGGUCGUCUCACUGGAUUUAAGGUUCAGAUGCUCAGUAACAAACUCCACCAAUGUGCUAACAGGGAAGCUUUAGGUUUAUUAAAUGUUGCUAUGAAGGUAUCGCUGUUUUUCUUUGUGAAUGCAAUGUGCUCCAACUGAAACUUGAAUUAGAACUUAGAAGUAAAUCCUUCCAUCUGUAAGGAUUUAGUUGCAUUAAUAACCUCAUAACAUUCUAAUUUUUAUUUCAGUCUUGGCUGGAAAUAGAAUCUCUGUAUUGAUUCAGGUAAAACCUGAACUUCACAGCAUGUUGGAGCAAAACAACCAGAUGAAAACUGUGAUGGUGUUGGAUUGUCAGACCGUAAUGUUGCAGCUCAAAGCAGCUUUUCUAUCUCAGUUCAUUCUGACAUUCAGCUAUGAAUCAACACAGCAGAUGGUGAUCCAUGCUGUGGAAGUCUCACAUCUCCUGAUUUAAUGGAGCUGCUUUGCACUUUUUACACUGUUUAUUCACCAACACUUUAUUUAAUAAAAGUCCCAUCUAGUUUUUAUGAGGAAUGUGAUGUUUUAAUUUCUCUGUGAAUAACUGCAGUCUAAUGCAACAGCUGGAGUUGUAACAUCUGUCCUGAUAUUGAUCAUGAAGUAUUGAUCAGAAUACUUAUGGUUAGCAGUCAUCCCUGAAGUUUUACAUUAAAAUCUUUACUUGUGUUGUGAACUUUGGUAAGAAGCAGAAACGUUAGCGUUGCCAUGGAUACAUGAGUGUUAAAUUCUGUCCAUGUUUCCAUUUUGGGAAAUGCAGUCCAGUUCCAGAAUGUGGAGGAAUUUAGUCUCACAAUCACAGACAACAAAUAUUAUCUGGAAGUCGGGUUAUUGUUGUUUAUCAGCACAAUACAAAAAGAUUGAUGUUAGAAAUACGACCUGAUCAAAAUCUUAAGACCAGUUGAAAAAUAGCUAGAAUUUACCUUUUGCACAUUUGGAUCUUAAUGAGGUUUUAAGUAGAGCUACAAUAUGAAUUGUAGAGAUACAAUAUUGAAAACAACAAGUAAACUGAAAUAGGCUGUUUAUCAGCUGAUCAAAAGUUUAAGACCAUCGCUCAAAAAAUUACAAAAAACUCUCCAAACCAGAACAAAAAAUGUUCUCAGUAGGACUCAGUAAUGAGUAGCUCCACCGUUCUUGUUAAUCACUUCAAAAAUUCGUUUGGGCAUGCUUGAUGCGAGUGUUUCCAGGAGGCUGGUGGGAACAUUGCUCCAAGUGGUGAAGAUGGCUUCACGAAGGGCAUCAACUGUCUGGAACUGAUGGCCAUUUUUAUAAACUUCCCUUGCCAUCCAUCCCCAAAUAUUCUCUAUGGGAUUUAAAUCAGGGGAACAUGUGGGAUGGUCCAAAAGAGUGAUGUUAUUCUCCGUGAAGAAGUCCUUGGUCAAGUGAGCAUUGUGAACUGCAGCAUUGUCCUGUUGAAAAACCCAGCUGUUACCACACAGACGAGGGCCCUCAGUCAUGAGGGAUGCCUGCUGCAACAUCUGCACGUAACCAGCCACCGUUUGACGACCUGCACCACCUGAAGCUCCAGUGUUCCACUGAAUGAAAAAGCACCCAGAUCAUGAUGGACCCCCCUCCACUGUGCCAGGUAGAAAACAUCUCAGGUGGGAUCUCCUUGUCAUGCCAGUAACGUUGGAAGCCAUCUGGACGGUCAAGGUUACAUUUUUUUCUCAUCAGAGAAUAAAACUUUUUUCCACCUUUCAAUGUCCCAUGUUUGAUGCUCCCUGGCAAAGUCUAAACAGGCAGUUUUGUGGCGUUGUGGGAGACGAGGUCUUUGAAUUUGUUUUUUGGUUUUGAAACCCUUUUCCCCCAGAUGCCGUAUGAUGGUUAUUGCGCUGCAGUCGGCACCAGUAAGGGCCUUAAUUUGGGUUGAGGACCGCCCUGCGUCUUGACGGACAGCCAAUCGGAUCCUCCGGCUCAGCGCAGGUGUAAUUUUUUUGGGUCUACCACUUGACUUUUUUGUUCCAUAAUGCUCAGGAUCUUUCAAAAAAUUUAGAAUGACUGUCUUACUACGUCCAACCUCAGCAGCAACGACACGCUGCGAGAGGCCUUGCUUAUGCAGCUCGACGAUCCGACCACAUUCAAGAAGAGAAAGCUUCUUAGCUUUAGCCAUCAGGAGGGCAUGACCAUGUGAAUGCCUGACAGAAGAUGAGAAUUUUGAGCAGAUUUGGGCUUUUAUAGCCUGUGGUCUUAAACUUUUGAUCAGCUGAUAAACAGCCUGUUUCAGUUUACUUGUUUUCAAUAAAUUACUUUUUCAAAGUGCUUUUUGUCUCACUCCCCCUUCUUGCUUUUGCAUAUUGUAGCUCUACUUAAAACCUCAUUAAGAUCCAAAUGUGCAAAAGGUAAAUUCUAGCUAUUUUUCAACUGGUCUUAAGAUUUUGAUCAGGUGUUUAUUCCAGUUAAGACUCUAGAAUAUCAUGAUUUAUGUAAAUUGACCUCAAUAAUAUGAAUGUUCAGGUUAAGAUUGUGCAGUGGUAUUUAUUAUGUAAGUUUAGCUGAUUAAAGUUUAUGACUCUGCACUAAAAUAUUAUUUAAAUUUACACCAUUAUUAUAAUAUUUAGGGUCAGACCCUACAGUAUUGAGAUUAAGAAAUCAAAUAUUCAAUAAAAUGUAAAUACACUGAACUCAUUUGGAUAUAUUUAAGUAAGACUCUACAAUAUUAUUUGACGCAAAUCUAUCUAAAUCAAAGUUUUAAUAAUUUUCAUGCCGAACAUUUACUGGACUGAUUUAAACAUUAAAAUCACUCCUUUCUAAUCCUCUGCUGUAUGUUCAAACCUGAGGCCUUAAAUAGAAACACACAAGUAUCUGAUUGAAGGAACUUCUGCAGAGUCCUGGUUCCAACAUGAUGAUAGAAUUAUAGACAAACUUGAACAAAAGCUGCCUGAGAGUUUACAGGUUUUUAUGUUAGAUUUCUUCAGUAAUUUAAUGAGAGUUAUCAGCAAAAAUCAGGUAUUCAUUUGAUGAACUUCAUUUCCUAAAACAUCCAGAAUUGGAGCUCAUAUCUUUGGCAGCUGUAAAGUUUCUGCUCCUUCAAAGUUCACAACACAAUGAAUGAAUUCCUAAAACACUCUCAAUGCUGGAGAGCGUUUGUGAUGCUGAAGCAGUGACCAGUUUUUCUGUUUCUUCUCUGGAGAUGCACAAUGAGGGACGUCUGCAGAGACUGAGAAAGAGUCUCACCACAUCCUUACAUGAGGAAAAAGACUUUAUUGAAGACUACAAUGAGAAAAACUAUCAGACAGCAGAUUGCUGCAUUCAAGGUGAGCUCUGAACAUUUGAUCUGGAACAGGAAUUCAAUAACGGCAGCAUGAGCUUCAUUUCAGUCUGUAGCUGCUGAAUUCAUGGAUGAAUCAUCUGGCACUAGAGAGGAAGACGAUCAAACAUCCACGUCAGCUGAUGGAGGUCCAAGAGUCUCACCGAACAAACAACCGACAGAGUGAAGACCUCGAAUCUGAUUGGACGGCCUCCUAUUCAGCCACAUGUGUGAACAAAUGCCUCUAAGCUGAUUUGUUUUCUAAAAUAAAUCUAGUUUGAGUCCUAA